GUUGAUUCUGCCGGACCCGACUGCUAUCAGAGUGAGAUUAAGCCAUGCGAGUUAACGUAGCAAUACGUGGCGCACGGCUCAGUAACACGUAGUCAACAUGCCCAGAGGACGCGGAUAACCUCGGGAAACUGAGUCUAAACCGCGAUAAGUGAGGAUUUCUGGAAUGGUUCCUGACUAAAAUCUAUAUGGCCUCUGGAUUGGACUGCGGCCGAUCAGGCUGUUGGUGAGGUAAUGGCCCACCAAACCUGUAACCGGUACGGGCUCUGAGAGGAGGAGCCCGGAGAUGGGCACUGAGACAAGGGCCCAGGCCCUAUGGGGCGCAGCAGGCGCGAAACCUCUGCAAUAGGCGAAAGCCUGACAGGGUUACUCUGAGUGACUUUCGCUAAGAAAGUCUUUUGGCACCUUUAAAAAGGGUGCAGAAUAAGGGGUGGGCAAGUCUGGUGUCAGCCGCCGCGGUAAUACCAGCACCCCGAGUGGUCGGGACGAUUAUUGGGCCUAAAGCAUCCGUAGCCGGUUCUGCAAGUCCCCGUUAAAUCCAGCUGCUCAACAGAUGGGCCGCGGAGGAUACUACAGAGCUAGGAGGCAGGAGAGGCAAGCGGUACUCAGUGGGUAGGGGUAAAAUCCGUUGAUCCAUUGAAGACCACCAGUGGCGAAGGCGGCUUGCCAGAAUGCGCUCGACGGUGAGGGAUGAAAGCUGGGGGAGCAAACCGGAUUAGAUACCCGGGUAGUCCCAGCCGUAAACGAUGCAGACUCGGUGAUGGGUUGGCUUCGUGCUAACCCAGUGCCGCAGGGAAGCCGUUAAGUCUGCCGCCUGGGUAGUACGGUCGCAAGACUGAAACUUAAAGGAAUUGGCGGGGGAGCACCACAAGGGGUGAAGCCUGCGGUUCAAUUGGAUUCAACGCCGG
rnacentral:rRNA from 1 species